CACAUUGGUUUGGUGAUCUGUAGCUGUUCCAUUCCACCUCUUGGAUAACACUGCUGAAGUCCACCAGAAGGAGCCUUUGUGUAUCAAUUCUGCAUAAACCUCGAGGACUGUAUUAACAUGUACUCCUAUUGUUGCAAUAAAAGCAUGGGGAGGUGUCAGCAAACUAGCUCUGCCAAGCUCCUUCAGCUUUGAUCUGAUGGCUGGAUUUUAUCUGUAGGUGUUUUGAGGAGGAUGAGUGCUUUCCACAAGAACGAGGCAGAAAAAAUAAAAGUAAACCAAUUAACUUCCAUAAAGUUA